AGAACCUAGAGGGGCUCAGGAUUGCGGAAGUUUGGUGGGGAGGGUCGGAGCUGUGGUGGAGAGCUUGUUGUCUAAAACAAGUUCCGGAAGGGAGGCUGCCCCUCGCGGUCCGAGAACCACCGGCCUCCUCUGUUUGAGGGCUGUUACCCCGUGCGCGCUUCGACGUUGCUGCUGUUGGCUCUCCUCGCCCCUCGUUCCCUUGGGAACCGCCUGGGACCUCCGCCAUGUCAUCCACUUCGCCCAACCUCCAGAAAGCGAUAGAUCUGGCUAGCAAAGCAGCGCAAGAAGACAAGGCUGGGAACUACGAAGAAGCCCUUCAGCUCUAUCAGCAUGCUGUGCAGUAUUUUCUUCAUGUCGUUAAAUAUGAAGCACAGGGUGAUAAAGCCAAGCAAAGUAUCAGGGCAAAGUGUACAGAAUAUCUUGAUAGAGCAGAAAAACUAAAGGAGUACCUGAAAAAUAAAGAGAAAAAAGCACAGAAGCCAGUGAAAGAAGGACAGCCGAGUCCAGCAGAUGAGAAGGGGAAUGACAGUGAUGGGGAAGGAGAAUCUGAUGAUCCUGAAAAAAAGAAACUACAGAAUCAACUUCAAGGUGCCAUUGUUAUAGAACGACCAAAUGUGAAAUGGAGUGACGUUGCUGGACUUGAAGGAGCCAAAGAAGCACUGAAAGAGGCUGUGAUACUGCCUAUUAAAUUUCCUCAUCUUUUUACAGGCAAGAGAACACCUUGGAGGGGAAUCCUAUUAUUUGGGCCGCCUGGAACAGGAAAGUCCUACUUAGCCAAAGCUGUAGCAACAGAAGCCAACAACUCAACAUUUUUUUCAAUAUCUUCCUCUGAUCUUGUUUCUAAGUGGCUAGGUGAAAGUGAAAAACUGGUUAAGAAUUUAUUCCAACUUGCCAGAGAGAAUAAGCCCUCCAUUAUCUUCAUUGAUGAAAUUGAUUCUCUGUGUGGUUCAAGAAGUGAAAAUGAAAGUGAAGCCGCACGUAGAAUUAAGACGGAGUUCCUAGUGCAAAUGCAAGGGGUUGGUGUAGACAAUGAUGGAAUUUUGGUUCUGGGAGCUACAAAUAUACCCUGGGUUCUGGAUUCUGCCAUUAGGCGAAGAUUUGAGAAACGAAUUUAUAUUCCUUUGCCGGAACCCCAUGCCCGAGCAGCAAUGUUUAAACUGCACCUGGGGACCACUCAGAACAGUCUGACGGAAGCAGACUUUCGGGAACUUGGGAGGAAAACAGAUGGUUAUUCAGGGGCAGAUAUAAGUAUCAUUGUACGUGAUGCCCUUAUGCAGCCUGUUAGGAAAGUACAGUCAGCUACUCAUUUUAAAAAGGUAAGUCAUUUUCAUUUAUCCUUUCCUAUCUUUUUUUCUUUUUUUUUUUUUUUUUUGAGACAGUCUCACUCUGUCGCCCAGGCUGGAGUGCAAUGGCACUAUCUCAGCUCGCUGCAACCUCCGCCUCCCGGGUUCAAGCAAUUCUCGUGCCUCAGCCUCCUGAGUAGCUGGAAUUACAGGCGUGUGCCACCAUGCCUGGCUAAUUUUUUGUAUUUUUAGUAGAGACGGGAUUUCACCAUGUUGGCCAGGCUCGUCUCGAACUCCUGACUCCAGGUGAUCCACCCACCUCGGCCUCCCAAAGGCAUGAGCCACUGCGCGUGGCCACUUUCGUAUAUUUUUAAAAUCAAGUUUUAAGACCGUCAUUGGUUUGUCUUCAAAGAAUUUGGGAGGAUUUCAGUGUUGUAUAAUAAUACAAUAAGUGGGUUUACAUAAUAGACAUAUUUCUGUGUCACUGAAACAAGUUCUUCAAUAAAGUUUAUUUAUUAGCCAUUUUUGGCUGGGUGCAGUGCCCCAUACCUGUAAUCCCAGCACUUUAGGAGGCCGAGGUGGGCAGAUCUCUUGAGCUCAGGAGUUCAAGACCAGCCUCGGGCAACAUGGUGAAACCCCAUCCCUAUAAAAAAUACAAAAAUUAGCUGGAUGUGGUGGCACACUCCUGUAGUCCCAGCUACUUGGGAGGCUGAAGUGGGGGAAUCUCUUGAGCCCAGGA
rnacentral:sRNA from 1 species